UACGGGGGGGGCAAGCGUUGUUCGGAAUUACUGGGCGUAAAGGGCUCGUAGGCGGCCAACUAAGUCGGACGUGAAAUCCCUCGGCUUAACCGGGGAACUGCGUCCGAUACUGGAUGGCUUGAGUUUGGGAGAGGGAUGCGGAAUUCCAGGUGUAGCGGUGAAAUGCGUAGAGAUGUGGAGGAACACCGAUGGCGAAGGCAGCCCCCUGGGCUAACACUGACGCUCAUGCACGAAAGCGUGGGGAGCAAACAGG
rnacentral:rRNA from 1 species